ensembl:snRNA U6 U6 spliceosomal RNA
GUGCUCGCUUAGGCAGCACAUAUGUUAAAAUUGGAAUGAUACAGAGAAGAUUAACAUGGUCCCCGUGCAAGGAUGACACGCAAAUUCAUGAAGAGUUCCAUAUUUAA